AACGAACGCUGGCGGCAUGCCUAACACAUGCAAGUCGAACGAAGCCUUCGGGCUUAGUGGCGCACGGGUGCGUAACGCGUGGGAAUCUGCCCUUUGGUUCGGAAUAACAGUUGGAAACGACUGCUAAUACCGGAUGAUGACGAAAGUCCAAAGAUUUAUCGCCAGAGGAUGAGCCCGCGUAGGAUUAGCUAGUUGGUGUGGUAAAGGCGCACCAAGGCGACGAUCCUUAGCUGGUCUGAGAGGAUGAUCAGCCACACUGGGACUGAGACACGGCCCUGACUCCUACGGGAGGCAGCAGUGGGGAAUACUGGACAAUGGGCGAAAGCCUGAUCCAGCAAUGCCGCGUGAGUGAUGAAGGCCCUAGGGUUGUAAAGCUCUUUUACCCGGGAUGAUAAUGACAGUACCGGGAGAAUAAGCCCCGGCUAACUCCGUGCCAGCCGCCGCGGUAA
rnacentral:rRNA from 1 species